rnacentral:rRNA from 1 species
AUUGAACGCUGGCGGCAUGCCUUACACAUGCAAGUCGAACGGCAGCACGGGAGCAAUCCUGGUGGCGAGUGGCGAACGGGUGAGUAAUGUAUCGGAACGUGCCCAGUCGUGGGGGAUAACGUAGCGAAAGCUACGCUAAUACCGCAUACGAUCUGUGGAUGAAAGCGGGGGACCGUAAGGCCUCGCGCGAUUGGAGCGGCCGAUAUCAGAUUAGGUAGUUGGUGGGGUAAAGGCCUACCAAGCCGACGAUCUGUAGCUGGUCUGAGAGGACGAGCAGCCACGCUGGGACUGAGACACGGCCCAGACUCCUACGGGAGGCAGCAGUGGGGAAUUUUGGACAAUGGGCGCAAGCCUGAUCCAGCAAUGCCGCGUGCAGGAUGAAGGCCUUCAGGUUGUAAACUGCUUUUGUACGGAGCGAAAAGGCUCUCUCUAAUACAGGGGGCUCAUGACGGUACCGUAAGAGUAAGCACCGGCUAACUACGUGCCAGCCGCCGCGGUAA